rnacentral:tRNA from 1 species
GGACGUGUGCCUGAAUAAAGGACUACUUUGAUAGAGUAGAACAUAGGAACUUAAACUUCCUCACCUCCU